rnacentral:tRNA from 1 species
UUCCCCGUAGCUCAGUUGGUAGAGCAUGGUGUUUGCAAUGCCAGGGUUGUGGGUUCGAUUCCCACGGGGGGCU